GAUGAACGCUGGCGGCGUGCUUAAUACAUGCAAGUCGAACGGACAGGCCAUGCUUUUGCGGGGCGCACGAGUGGCGAACGGGUGAGUAACACGUGAGUAUAACGCCCCUGACUUUGGGAUAACUUUUGGAAAAUGGGGCUCAUAUAGGAUAGGAGCUACUGCUGCAUGGUGGGGGAUGGAAAGUUUCGGCGGUUGGGGCUGGACUAGCGGCUUAUCAGCUUGUUGGUGGGGUUGUGGCUUACCAAGGUUUUGACGGGUAGCCGGCCUGGGAGGGUUACCGGCCACAUUGGGACUGAGAUACGGCGCAGACGCCUACGGGAGGCAGCAGGGGGGAAUAUGGCACAAUGGGCGGAAGCCAGAGGCAGCAACGCCGCGUUCGGGAUGACGGCCUUCGAGUUGUAAACCGCUGUCGCCUUUGACGAAGCGGGAGUGACGGUAAUGAGUAAAAAAGCACCGGCUAACUACGUG
rnacentral:rRNA from 1 species